rnacentral:rRNA from 1 species
AACGAACGUUGGCGGCGUGCUUAACACAUGCAAGUCGUACGAGAAAGCUCCUUCGGGGGUGAGUAAAGUGGCGCACGGGUUAGUAACACGUGGAUAAUCUGCCCUAAGGCGAGGGAAAACUGACCGAAAGGUCCGCUAAUACCUCAUGAGACCACAGUAUCUUCGGAUACAGGGGUAAAAGAUGGCCUCUAUUUAUAAGCUAUCACCAUAGGAUGAGUCCGCGCACCAUUAGCUUGUUGGUGGGGUAAAGGCCUACCAAGGCUAAGAUGGUUAGCUGGUCUGAGAGGACGACCAGCAACACUGGAACUGAGACACGGUCCAG